GUGCCAGCCGCCGCGGUAAGACGUAGGGAGCGAGCGUUAUCCGGAUUCAUUGGGCGUAAAGCGCGCGUAGGCGGCUUUGCAAGUCGGGUGUGAAAACCAGAGGCUCAACCUCUGGCCUGCAUCCGAAACUGCAUCGCUAGAGGUAGGUAGGGGAGAUCGGAAUUCCUGGUGUAGCGGUGAAAUGCGCAGAUAUCAGGAGGAACACCGGUGGCGAAGGCGGAUCUCUGGGCCUUACCUGACGCUGAGGUGCGAAAGCUAGGGGAGCGAACAGGAUUAGAUACCCCCGUAGUCC
rnacentral:rRNA from 1 species